rnacentral:rRNA from 1 species
ACAAACGCUGGCGGCAGGCUUCAUACAUGCAAGUCGAGCGAUUAAAGCAGCAAUGCAUAUAAAGCGGCGAACGGGUGAGUAACAGGUGGACAACCUACCCUCUGGCGGGGGACAACAGCUGGAAACGGCUGCUAAUACCGCAUGUGAUAGCAUUUCUUUGGAAGUGUUAGGAAAGGCGCGUUUGCGUCACCAGGGGAUGGGUCCGCCCCCCAUUAGCUUGUUGGUGUGAUGACAGCGCACCAAGGCUUCGAUGGGUAGCCGAGCUGAGAGGUUGAUCGGCCACACUGGGACUGAGACACGGCCCAGACACCUACGGGUGGCAGCAGUAGGGAAUAUUGGACAAUGGACGAAAGUCUGAUCCAGCCAUGCCGCGUGAGUGAAGAAGGUCUUCGGAUCGU